GAUGAACGCUAGCUACAGGCCUAACACAUGCAAGUCGAGGGGCAUCGGGAGGGGAGCUUGCUUUCCUUGCCGGCGACCGGCGCACGGGUGAGUAACGCGUAUCGAACCUGCCCCAUACCCGGGGAUAGCCUUGCGAAAGUAAGAUUAAUACCCGAUGGUUUCCUUUUAUCUCCUGAUAGAGGGAAUAAAGAAUUUCGGUAUGGGAUGGCGAUGCGUCCGAUUAGCUAGUUGGCGGGGUAACGGCCCACCAAGGCGACGAUCAGUAGGGGUUCUGAGAGGAAGGUCCCCCACAUUGGAACUGAGACACGGUCCAAACUCCUACGGGAGGCAGCAGUGAGGAAUAUUGGUCAAUGGGCGAGAGCCUGAACCAGCCAAGUAGCGUGCAGGAUGACGGCCCUAUGGGUUGUAAACUGCUUUUAUAAGGGAAUAAAGUGAGCCUCGUGAGGCUUUUUGCAUGUACCUUAUGAAUAAGGACCGGCUAAUUCCGUG
rnacentral:rRNA from 1 species